GCCAUUCUCUCCCCCUUCCAGAAACUUUUUAUUAAGCAUAGCAUCAUGAUUUAUAGUUUUCGAUUGGGGUGAUCACGGAGUAAAAAACAACCUCCAUGCCGAAAGGGCUUCCUCCCCUGAGCCAAAAGCUACAACUUAAAGCACUAAAAAAAUUAACGUUUAUUGACCCAAUAAUUUUGAUCAACGAACCAAGUUACCCUAGGGAUAACAGCGCAAUCCACUUCAAGAGCUCCUAUCGACAAGUGGGUUUACGACCUCGAUGUUGGAUCAGGGUAUCCCAGUGGUGCAGCCGCUACUAACGGUUCGUUUGUUCAACGAUUAAAACCCU
rnacentral:rRNA from 1 species